rnacentral:rRNA from 3 species
UUAAGAGUUUGAUCCUGGCUCAGGAUGAAACGCUGGCGGUAUGCUUAACACAUGCAAAGUCGAACGGGAUGCUUAGGCAUCUAGUGGCGGACGGGUGAGUAACGCGUGAGAAUUUGGCUUCAGGUCGGGGACAACAGUUGGAAACGACUGCUAAUACCGGAUGUGCCGGAAGGUGAAAGAUUUAUCGCCUGAAGAUAAGCUCGCGUCUGAUUAGCUAGUUGGUGGUGUAAGGGACUACCAAGGCGACGAUCAGUAGCUGGUCUGAGAGGAUGAUCAGCCACACUGGGACUGAGACACGGCCCAGACUCCUACGGGAGGCAGCAGUGGGGAAUUUUCCGCAAUGGGCCAGAAAGCCUGACGGAGCAAUACCGCGUGAGGGAGGAAGGCUCUUGGGUCGUAAACCUCUUUUCUCAAGGAAGAAGAAAGUGACGGUACUUGAGGAAUAAGCAUCGGCUAACUCCGUGCCAGCAGCCGCGGUAAUACGGAGGAUGCAAGCGUUAUCCGGAAUGAUUGGGCGUAAAGGGUCCGCAGGUGGAACUGAAAGUCUGCUGUUAAAGAGUCACGCUCAACGUGAUAAAAGCAGUGGAAACUACAGAACUAGAGUACGUUCGGGGCAGAAGGAAUUCCUGGUGUAGCGGUGAAAUGCGUAGAUAUCAGGAAGAACACCGGUGGCGAAAGCGUUCUGCUAGGCCGUAACUGACACUGAGGGACGAAAGCUAGGGGAGCGAAUGGGAUUAGAUACCCCAGUAGUCCUAGCCGUAAACGAUGGAUACUAGGCGUGGCUUGUAUCGACCCGAGCCGUGCCGGAGCUAACGCGUUAAGUAUCCCGCCUGGGGAGUACGCACGCAAGUGUGAAACUCAAAGGAAUUGACGGGGGCCCGCACAAGCGGUGGAGUAUGUGGUUUAAUUCGAUGCAACGCGAAGAACCUUACCAAGACUUGACAUCCUGCGAAUCUUCUUGAAAGGGAAGAGUGCCUUCGGGAGCGCAGAGACAGGUGGUGCAUGGCUGUCGUCAGCUCGUGUCGUGAGAUGUUGGGUUAAGUCCCGCAACGAGCGCAACCCUCGUUUUUAGUUGCCAGCAUUAAGUUGGGCACUCUAGAGAGACUGCCGGUGACAAACCGGAGGAAGGUGAGGAUGACGUCAAGUCAGCAUGCCCCUUACGUCUUGGGCUACACACGUACUACAAUGCUACGGACAAAGGGCAGCAAGCUAGCGAUAGCAAGCAAAUCUCAUAAACCGUAGCUCAGUUCAGAUCGAAGGCUGCAACUCGCCUUCGUGAAGGAGGAAUCGCUAGUAAUUGCAGGUCAGCAUACUGCAGUGAAUUCGUUCCCGGGCCUUGUACACA